UACGGAGGGUGCGAGCGUUGUCCGGAAUCACUGGGCGUAAAGGGCGCGUAGGCGGCGCGGGAAGUCCGUGGUGAAAGCCCGAGGCUCAACUUCGGGUCGGCCAUGGAUACUCCUGGGCUCGAGCACUGUAGAGGCAGGUGGAAUUCCGGGUGUAGCGGUGGAAUGCGUAGAGAUCCGGAAGAACACCGGUGGCGAAGGCGGCCUGCUGGGCAGUGACCGCAAGGUCCUAAAAGCUGACGCUGAGGCGCGACAGCGUGGGGAGCAAACAGG
rnacentral:rRNA from 1 species